AGGGUGGAAUUGAGCCAGGGAUGACUGACCAUCAUUUUUCAGUUGGUAUUUGAGGCUUUAACUGGUCAUGCACGGCUGGUUAUCCCUGUCUCCUUUAGCUCCUCU
rnacentral:pre_miRNA from 11 species